CCCAUUAUGGGUGCAUCUGCGAUACGAAUUACGCAGAUUACUGCCGGGUCGUCGAAUAGAAAUUGCGACUUUCAAUACUAUUCAGCGGCAAGCAAUCCAGGAAAUCGAAUCAGCUAGAAUGCCGAUCGGGGUUUCGACUCGGAUUUCGAUGGGGAAUCGAAUAGGAGACGUUUGUAGCCGCGGUCAUUUAACCUUUUGUGAAGUUUUAAGUUUAUUCUACUGUCUACAGUUGGAUGAAAAAUGCCCAUAUAACCGAGGUGAAAAAAUCCUUACAGUAAUAAAAAAAUAAUACUUUGUGCUGAUCCGCAAGCAGGAAGAGCCGGGUUUAUACGGUUUGGAAUCAUUACG